UAACUCUCAGCCCCCCGGGGUUGGACUUUGGACGGUUUGCGGGAGCCUCUUCCGCUCGUCUCAAAUGCAUUAGCGGGGUUCUGGUGACCCAUUGCUGGCGUUUAGUAAUGCUUGCGCCGCGCGGGGUCCUUGUCCGCUAACCAGCCGGACGCCACGGCGUCGAACUUGAC
rnacentral:misc_RNA from 1 species